ACUAUGCUUGGCCCUAAACCUCAGUAGUUAGAUAACAAAACUACUCGCCAGAAUACUACAAGCAACAGCUUAAAACUCAAAGGACUUGACGGUGCUUUACAUCCCCCUAGAGGAGCCUGUUCCGUAAUCGAUAAACCCCGAUCUACCCCACCCUCUCUUGCUCAGCCUAUAUACCGCCAUCUUCAGCAAACCCUAAUGAAGGCUACAAAGUGAGCGCAAACGCCACUGCCGCGAAUACGUUAGGUCAAGGUGUAGCCCAUGAGACGGUAAAAAAUGGGCUACAUUUUCUAUUUCAGAAAACCCCACGAAAACCCUUAUGAAACUUAAGGGUCCAAGGAGGAUUUAGCAGUAAAUUAAGAAUAGAGUGCUUAAUUGAACUAGGCCAUAAAGCGCGCACACACCGCCCGUCACUCCUCUCAAAUAUAUUUAAGGAAUACCCUAACUAAACGCCCUAAUAUUUAUAUAGAGAGGAUAAGUCGUAACAUGGUAAGCGUACUGGAAGGUGCGCUUGGAUAAAU
rnacentral:rRNA from 1 species